rnacentral:rRNA from 1 species
UAGGGAAUCUUCCGCAAUGGACGAAAGUCUGACGGAGCAACGCCGCGUGAGUGAAGAAGGAUUUCGGUUCGUAAAACUCUGUUGUUAGGGAAGAAAAAAUGUAUAGUAACUAUAUACAAAAGAGACGGUACCUAACCAGAAAGCCACGGCUAACUACGUGCCAGCAGCCGCGGUAAUACGUAGGUGGCAAGCGUUGUCCGGAAUUAUUGGGCGUAAAGCGCGCGCAGGUGGUUUAGAAAGUCUGAUGUGAAAGCCCACGGCUCAACCGUGGAGGGUCAUUGGAAACUAAUAAACUUGAGUGCAGGAGAGGAAAGUGGAAUUCCUAGUGUAGCGGUGAAAUGCGUAGAGAUUAGGAGGAACACCGGUGGCGAAAGCGGCUUUUUUGCCGGCAACUGACACUGAGGCGCGAAAGCGUGGGGAGCAAACAGG